CCCGCCGCGCAGGCUCGGCGUUGGCCUCCGCGGCCCGUGCGAGUGCGCCCUUCUCGGGUCCCCUAGGUCGCGGGGCAGCCGGGGCGGAAGGGGCUUGUUCAUUAUUUUGAGAGUUUGUUGUGAACGUCAUAACCUUUCGUCCUUAAAUAUUGCCGAUACUUGACCUACGCAAGAGACAAUGUCAUGUGAUUCAGCCUAAUAUCUCAACUGGGGCUGUGGCUGAGAUGUCACAUGGCAGAUAGGAUCACAAAUUUCUGUUGUAUCUGGAUGGAGAUCAGCAGGAGGAUCUAUGGACUGCUGUGAUUGCACCUGCCAUCUUAUGCAGAAAUGACCUGAAGACAGACUGAAACAACGUGUUCUACAGCCUGAAAAUAUCUACCUUGACUUACAGUUUUAUUAAUGCUGGUGUGAUCAGACUGGACAAAAAUUAGCAUAUGUUAUUAACUGAUCUAAUUCAAGUGCCAAUUCUUAAUAGAAACACAAAACAAUAAAAGCAAUUCAGAAAAUAUUUACUAUUUGAUUUCUUCAAGCUCCAAACAGGCUUGUGCUUAGCUGUAGAAACUUGAAUAUAUACAAAUCUACAUGGAUAGAAUUCUUAGUCUUCUUUGGGCCAGGUGUGUUAGCCCCUUGGGAAAGGAUAAAGUUUUGGAAUAUAUUUUUAUUCAUGAACCUGCUCUCUUUAAGACUUCUGAGGAAAAGAGCUGCUGGGCAGAUGAGUAGAAUAUGUUACUACUGUUCCGACAUGUCUACCCAUCAAAACUAGCUGAUACAGUACACUUUAAUGACCCUUCUAUAGUCAAAACUGACAUUGACAUUGACAUUAACAGAAAAGAUUUGGGACAAAGAACUGUGUUCAUGCAGCAAAUCAGCCUCAAACUUCACCACAAGCUGCACAUUUUAUGCUACUGUAUUCUGCUUAAGCACUUAUUUGUAUUUAUGUAAACUGAAUGAUCCUUUAAUACUUAAGGACUUUAUUCUGGGUGAGUUAGAAUCACACUGUUUUGGCAGGAAAACUCUUUGAUAGGAAAAACUGUAUGGCUUGAUAAUUUAAGAGCUAAAAGUAGCCAAAUCAGGAACUACUGAAAUUCUUCAGUAUCUGUUAGAAUAUCUCCUGUUUGAGCCAUGUUUGUAAAUGAUGUUCAAAGGCAUUUCAAAAGCAUGUAAAUUAAAAAAACAAUUCAU
rnacentral:lncRNA from 1 species